GUAAAAGAAGAGAGAAAACACCACAAUUCUUUAUUUGCAUGGUCUACCUCCAAGCCAACCCACAUCAUUCCUUUUCAAUAUAUUCUUCUUACAACAAUAUUGAAUACAAAUGAGGAGAGUAAGAUAGAAAUAAAGAGUAUUAGGUUUCAUUCUUGAAGAAACACAAAGAAGAUUGAAGAUGGAAGUCAAAUGAUGACUAUUAUCAAUGAAUGAAAUUAAAACUCAACCUUAGGAAAAGACACAGCUCUCCCACAUCUACAAGUUAAGGUAACAGGUAAACAUUGAAAGUCUAAGGAGUAUCCGGAGUUGCUCACCAGUCAUUCAAUGUCAUGAGUCAGAAUUGGAUCACGUCUUGAGUCUAGAUUAGAGUCAUAGUUUAAUUAAGACUCACUUGAAAGUUGUUUUAAAUUUGUAAGUAUUUAGAUAUUUAUGAAUUAAAAGUUUCAGUUU